AGUAAUUAGAGUGGGGAGUCUUGCCACAUGGAAUUGACCCUUAGGGGCUCGGGGAAAGCAGGAUUUGUGGCUGCUCUGAAAUGCCAGUGGUCUGGUCCAGCAUUCCUCUUGUCAAUAUGAACCUUGUGAUUUUAUUGGAAACAUGUGUCAAAACAAAACAGCAUUUGAAGCUGCUGUUGAGAAAAGGUGGGCAAAUCCAGAGGCAGCCAAGCUAUUUUUCUGCUUGUUGCCAAACAUACCAUGCCAGCACUGCCUAUCGUGCUCAACUGGAGGGAAAUAUGGCAAGCACCGUCGUCGUAAAUUGAUCAUUGCUGUGUGGAUACGUACAGAUAGAAAAAUAUCUUACACUGCUCAUUCUGCUGUCAUUCCUUCCUUAAUUAUGUAGUUCUGUAAGUUAGAGAGACUGUGACAUUCUGCUCUAUGGUGAUGACCAAGCUGAGAGCUUAUAUGAGCGUUAUCCCCUGGAGAAAAGGCAUUGCAGCAAACAGAGUCCUGAGCUUUCCUGGAUGGGCAGUGGAGCAUUCAGUGACCUGCCAGUCAGAGGUAAUAAUUUACUCCCUACGGGCUGCCAAAGCAAUCUGAAAAUGUGAGUUAUGAACCUUGGAAUGGUUACCUGCAUCACAGAAAAGGCAAAAUAAAGAGAUCUUCACAGUCCAGAUUUGAGGCAAUGAUGGUGAUAGCUUGAACAUGUGAGCCUAUCCAGGCCCAGCAUCACGUCAGUGCUGGACUGAAUCUCAGCCUAAUUGAAAAGACAAGUGGAUGUCUCUGGCGAAGGGAAACAUGGCUGUCACAGGGUCCUAAUUAACCACUGGGCUACCUGCUGGCCUGUGCAGCACUGCCUCAUUGCUCUGGGGUGACAGCACAGCAGUGCUCCUCUCUGCUGACAGCUUGAGCUCUGUAUGGCCAUGCUGUUUUGCUGCAGCAUAGGCAAAUGGAGCAUUCUUUGUGUGCAGGUCUGAGGCUGCAUAUACACGUGUGUGAACUCUCUAAAAGCAAACAACCGGCCUUUAUAAAGCCAAAUUCCAAGCAAGCAACCAGCUUAGCAGCUGUGAAAGGUGUCUGUCGGUUUCAUUGUUGAUAAAAGCACAGCCCACAGUGACUCAAACCUCAGGAUAUGUGGUGGGGAAUGGGGAAGAAAAAGAAGAUAGAGAGUGAGAGAGAAAGAGAAGAAUAAUCCUUGUCAGGACGAGGCGUUCAGACACGCCACAUUUCUUUGGCACAGACGUUGCUGUCAUGAGCCUUGCAGACGUUUCAC
rnacentral:lncRNA from 7 species